AAGGCAAAUUCUAGUAUAGCGGAAGUAUUUAUUUUGAAAAUAAAUUUUGAAGUCUGUUUAAAUUUGGCUUCUUGCUUUU
rnacentral:tRNA from 1 species